AGAGUUUGAUCCUGGCUCAGGAUGAACGCUGGCGGCGUGCUUAACACAUGCAAGUCGAACGAAGCAUUUAAGACAGAUUACUUCGGUUUGAAGUCUUUUAUGACUGAGUGGCGGACGGGUGAGUAACGCGUGGGUAACCUGCCUCAUACAGGGGGAUAGCAGCUGGAAACGGCUGGUAAUACCGCAUAAGCGCACGGUAUCGCAUGAUACAGUGUGAAAAACUCUGGUGGUAUGAGAUGGACCCGCGUCUGAUUAGCUGGUUGGUGAGGUAACGGCCCACCAAGGCGACGAUCAGUAGCCGACCUGAGAGGGUGACCGGCCACAUUGGGACUGAGACACGGCCCAGACUCCUACGGGAGGCAGCAGUGGGGAAUAUUGCACAAUGGAGGAAACUCUGAUGCAGCGACGCCGCGUGAGUGAAGAAGUAGUUCGCUAUGUAAAGCUCUAUCAGCAGGGAAGAUAGUGACGGUACCUGACUAAGAAGCUCCGGCUAAAUACGUGCCAGCAGCCGCGGUAAUACGUAUGGAGCAAGCGUUAUCCGGAUUUACUGGGUGUAAAGGGAGUGUAGGUGGCCAGGCAAGUCAGAAGUGAAAGCCCGGGGCUCAACCCCGGGACUGCUUUUGAAACUGCAGGGCUAGAGUGCAGGAGGGGCAAGUGGAAUUCCUAGUGUAGCGGUGAAAUGCGUAGAUAUUAGGAGGAACACCAGUGGCGAAGGCGGCUUGCUGGACUGUAACUGACACUGAGGCUCGAAAGCGUGGGGAGCAAACAGGAUUAGAUACCCUGGUAGUCCACGCCGUAAACGAUGAUUACUAGGUGUUGGAGGAUUGACCCCUUCAGUGCCGCAGUU
rnacentral:rRNA from 1 species